rnacentral:tRNA from 1 species
GCCUCGGUGGUGUAGCCUGGGAACACGUCGGCCUGUGGAGCCGAAGAGGCGCCGUGAGCGGCGCGCGCGGAAACCCCGGGUUCAAAUCCCGGCCGAGGCC